rnacentral:tRNA from 1 species
AGGGGCGUAAGCUCAACGGUAAACUGCCGGUCUCCAAAACCGGACUUCUCGGUUCAAAUCCGGGCGCCCCUGCCA